UACGUAGGGUGCAAGCGUUGUCCGGAAUUAUUGGGCGUAAAGAGCUCGUAGGCGGUCUGUCGCGUCUGCUGUGAAAACUCAGGGCUUAACCCUGAGCUUGCAGUGGGUACGGGCAGACUAGAGUGCGGUAGGGGAGACUGGAAUUCCUGGUGUAGCGGUGAAAUGCGCAGAUAUCAGGAGGAACACCGAUGGCGAAGGCAGGUCACUGGGCCGCAACUGACGCUGAGGAGCGAAAGCAUGGGGAGCGAACAGG
rnacentral:rRNA from 1 species